rnacentral:rRNA from 1 species
CCUACGGGAGGCAGCAGUGGGGAAUAUUGCACAAUGGGGGAAACCCUGAUGCAGCGACGCCGCGUGAGUGAAGAAGUAUUUCGGUAUGUAAAGCUCUAUCAGCAGGGAAGAAAAUGACGGUACCUGAGUAAGAAGCCCCGGCUAACUACGUGCCAGCAGCCGCGGUAAUACGUAGGGGGCAAGCGUUAUCCGGAUUUACUGGGUGUAAAGGGAGCGCAGACGGCUCUGCAAGUCUGAAGUGAAAGCCCGCGGCUUAACCGCGGGACUGCUUUGGAAACUGUUAAUCUUGAGUGUCGGAGAGGCAGGCGGAAUUCCUAGUGUAGCGGUGAAAUGCGUAGAUAUUAGGAAGAACACCGGUGGCGAAGGCGGCUUGCUGGACGAAAACUGACGUUGAGGCUCGAAAGCGUGGGGAGCAAACAGGAUUAGAUACCCGUGUAGUC